rnacentral:misc_RNA from 1 species
CUUCUGUUAUAUGCAGACGGGUUGGUAAGUGAAAUCCAGUGAGAAUGAUACGGCUGUUUAAGAAACUGUAGUUUUAUCCCUUGUGUUAAAUCCUUGCUGUUCUUGUUUGUUGAAAAUUGCAAGAAUCAUUGUACUGACCAAAAAUGAGCUAAGAUUGGCAUUUGAAAUUAUGGGAUGGGUUUGUGCUAGCAGUUGAUAUAAGUAAGAAUUGAUAUCAUGUUAUGGAUAAUUUUGGGAGUCACUGGGUGCUAAGAG